rnacentral:rRNA from 1 species
CCUACGGGAGGCAGCAGUGGGGAAUCUUCCGCAAUGGGCGAAAGCCUGACGGAGCAACGCCGCGUGAGGGAUGAAGGCCUCUGGGCUGUAAACCUCUUUUAUCAAGGAAGAAGAUCUGACGGUACUUGAUGAAUAAGCCACGGCUAAUUCCGUGCCAGCAGCCGCGGUAAUACGGGAGUGGCAAGCGUUAUCCGGAAUUAUUGGGCGUAAAGCGUCCGCAGGCGGCCCUUCAAGUCUGCUGUUAAAAAGUGGAGCUUAACUCCAUCAUGGCAGUGGAAACUGUUGGGCUUGGGUGUGGUAGGGGCAGAGGGAAUUCCCGGUGUAGCGGUGAAAUGCGUAGAUAUCGGGAAGAACACCAGUGGCGAAGGCGCUCUGCUGGGCCAUCACUGACGCUCAUGGACGAAAGCCAGGGGAGCGAAAGGGAUUAGAUACCCCUGUAGUCCUGGCCGUAAACGAUGAACACUAGGUGUCGGGGGAAUCGACCCCCUCGGUGUCGUAGCCAACGCGUUAAGUGUUCCGCCUGGGGAGUACGCACGCAAGUGUGAAACUCAAAGGAAUUGACG